CAACCUGCCCUUUGCACUGGGAUAGCCUCGGGAAACCGAGGUUAAUACCGGAUACUCCAUAUUUGUCGCAUGGCUAAUAUGGGAAAGCUCCGGCGGCAAAGGAUGGGCCCGCGGCCUGUUAGCUAGUUGGUGGGGUAGUGGCCUACCAAGGCAAUGAUGGGUAGCCGGGUUGAGAGACUGAUCGGCCACAAUGGAACUGAGACACGGUCCAUACUCCUAGGGAGGGCAGCAGUG
rnacentral:rRNA from 1 species